rnacentral:misc_RNA from 1 species
UAAUGUAAUUGAAAUCUUGUUUGUAUUUAAUUAACCCUCUUCACACUUGUGAAAACAACCACUUCUUCUUUUCAAUUUGAUGAGAUUUUUGUUAUUUAUCCUCUUACUUUUCUUUAUUUAUUGUGAUAAAAUUUUUAAUGGACUUGUCACUUUUUGAACAAACUUUAUAAGAGAAGUCUGUUUUUGUAAUCAAAACAACUAUUGCCGAGUAGUUGUUGUAUU